rnacentral:rRNA from 1 species
GACGAACGCUGGCGGCGUGCUUAACACAUGCAAGUCGAACGGAAAGGCCCUGCUUUUGUGGGGUGCUCGAGUGGCGAACGGGUGAGUAACACGUGAGUAACCUGCCCUUGACUUUGGGAUAACUUCAGGAAACUGGGGCUAAUACCGGAUAGGAGCUCCUGCUGCAUGGAGGGGGGUGGAAAGUUUCGGCGGUUGGGGAUGGACUCGCGGCUUAUCAGCUUGUUGGUGGGGUAGUGGCUUACCAAGGCUUUGACGGGUAGCCGGCCUGAGAGGGUGACCGGCCACAUUGGGACUGAGAUACGGCCCAGACUCCUACGGGAGGCAGCAGUGGGGAAUAUUGCACAAUGGGCGGAAGCCUGAUGCAGCAACGCCGCGUGCGGGAUGACGGCCUUCGGGUUGUAAACCGCUUUCGCCUGUGACGAAGCGUGAGUGACGGUAAUGGGUAAAGAAGCACCGGCUAACUACGUG